rnacentral:lncRNA from 1 species
AUGGCUGUUGUCGAUUCUACAGAUUGUGCCCCUUAUAAGUGUCGUUGCUGCCAUCAGAACUGCUUAUUUUGCCAACGGAAUUUAAAUGACAUUGGCACGAGCACUCCUUGCCUUAAUGUUGCGGCCUGGAAAAGGCAGAAUCCCCAGUUGGAAAAGGGUAAGGUGAUGGCAGAAACUGGGGAAGCUGAAAUAGAGCUGCUGCAGUUUUACAGUCAUUUGCCUGAUCAUAACCACACUGUAAAGUUGUCACGAGAAUGUGGCUUCCACAGUGAGGGGGCACCAGCCUGCUGUGGUGGAAGGAAAGGAUGGAGACAUUUAAAAAGCAUUCAGGAGGAAGAUGUUGUGUCUUUGGCCUGCUCUUGGGCCUGGCUGUCCCUGUCUGUUUUCCGUGAUGAGGCUAUUCACUGA